rnacentral:lncRNA from 1 species
AUGGACCUAAAACGGGGACCUAAAACGGGCCAGGGAGCAGAAGCAGCAGAGGCAGCCAGACCCUGCUCCUGGGUAUGGGAUGGGGACUGGCCAGGGCAUUCCCCUCCUGCCCUUGAGAUGUGCCCAGAGGUGGGGCUGUGGGGGCACUUUCCCCGUGCCGUUUGGGGCAAGAGAGCAAGCCCCCUACCCACCCAUCCGUCCGUCUGUCCGACCAUCCGUCCCUGCCUUGCUGCCCCACCAAACCAGCAUGCCACAACCCCAAUCCACCCUCCCUCCCCCAAAUUUGCCACCCUACUCCUCACGUGGGGGCUCUCCGGGGGGGGUUCAUCCCACCGCGGCGUGCGUGCCACCACGGAGACGUGUGAGCGGCGAGGGAACGUCCCCGUCCCCAGCGGCCACGGCCGGCCUGGGACGAGCCCCUGGCUGUGGGGUGACCCCUCUUGUGCCCAUCCCGGCUACCCCGAAGCACCCCGAGGUGGCCAUCUCCGUCCCCGUCCUCGUCCCCAUGCCGGGGAGGCCGCUCCGCACGGGCGUCCCGCUGGCCUCCGUGUUUUCCCUGCAGCCUUUUGUGUGCGUGGCGGCGUGGCGGCGCACGGGGAGGCCGCAUGGCGCCCGGCCUUCCCCACCUCCGUCCUCCUCCUCCUCCUCCCCCCCGAUCCCCGCCUCCCCGGCCGCCAUUUCGCAGCGCCGGCCUCGCUCGCUCUCCACAUCAUGGAGGACCGGCGUGGGGGGGAACAAAGAGCCCCGGCCUGCGCCCGUGCCCCCGGCCUUGGCGUCCCCAAGUCCCCUCCUGCCGUGCCCACGUGUGAGGAGUUUGCUCGGGCCUCAGCCUCGUGGCCAAGCUGCUGCGCUCCCUCCUGUCCCCCCCUUAGCCCUCGGGGCUCGUCCUGCCCCGGUGUGGGGUCCUGUGGGGUCCCUGAGGGUCCCGAGACGUGCAUGGGGAGAAAUGGUGUGUGUGCACGCGUGUGCGGGCACUUGUGGGGCAGUUUGUGUGCACACACGUGUGAGAUGGGGGUGUGCACACGUGUGGUCACGCACACGCAUGCACAGAUGGCAGCCAGAACCUGUGGCACGUUACACACCAUGCGUGUGACACCGCUGCCGCGCGGCACCCCGCACGCUCGUGUGUAA